rnacentral:rRNA from 1 species
CAAUAGCGUAUAUUAAAGUUGUUGCGGUUAAAAAGCUCGUAGUUGGAUUUCUGCUGAGGACGACCGGUCCGCCCUCUGGGUGAGUAUCUGGCUCGGCCUUGGCAUCUUCUUGGAGAACGUUGCUGCACUUGACUGUGUGGCGCGGUAUCCAGGACAUUUACUUUGAGGAAAUUAGAGUGUUUCAAGCAGGCAUACGCCUUGAAUACAUUAGCAUGGAAUAAUAAGAUAGGACCUCGGUUCUAUUUUGUUGGUUUCUAGAGCUGAGGUAAUGAUUAAUAGGGAUAGUUGGGGGCAUUCGUAUUUAACUGUCAGAGGUGAAAUUCUUGGAUUUGUUAAAGACGGACUGCUGCGAAAGCAUUUGCCAAGGAUGUUUUCAUUGA